rnacentral:rRNA from 1 species
ACGGGGCCCGCACAAGCGGAGGAACAUGUGGUUUAAUUCGAUGAUACGCGAGGAACCUUACCUGGGCUUAAAUGGGGAGUGACAGCUGGUGAAAGCCGGUUUUCUUCGGACACUCUUCAAGGUGCUGCAUGGUUGUCGUCAGCUCGUGCCGUGAGGUGUCGGGUUAAGUCCCGCAACGAGCGCAACCCCUAUUCUCAGUUGCCAGCACAUAAUGGUGGGCACUCUGUGGAGACUGCCCGGUUAACCGGGAGGAAGGUGGGGAUGACGUCAAGUCAUCAUGGCCCUUACGCCUAGGGCUACACACGUACUACAAUGGUGGGUACAAAGGGCAGCAAAACCGCGAGGUCGAGCGAAUCUCAAAAAACCCAUCGUAGUCCGGAUUGCAGUCUGCAACUCGACUGCAUGAAGUUGGAAUCGCUAGUAAUCCCGGAUCAGCAUGCCGGGGUGAAUACGUUCCCGGGCCUU